UGUGGGAGCUGGCUUGCCUGCGAUAGCGGCGGGUCAGUUAAUAAUUUGGUCACUGGUACACCGCUAUCGCAGGCAAGCCAGCUCCCACA
rnacentral:antisense_RNA from 1 species